ACGGAGAGUUUGAUCCUGGCUCAGGAUGAACGCUGGCGGCGUGCUUAACACAUGCAAGUCGAACGAACCUUCGGGUUAGUGGCGGACGGGUGAGUAACGCGUGGGAAUCUGCCCUCAGGAGGGGGAUAACGGUUGGAAACGACCGCUAAUACCCCAUAUGCCGAGAGGUGAAAUGAAUUUCGCCUGAGGAUGAGCCCGCGUCUGAUUAGCUAGUUGGUGAGGUAAUGGCUCACCAAGGCAUCGAUCAGUAGCUGGUCUGAGAGGAUGAUCAGCCACACUGGGACUGAGACACGGCCCAGACUCCUACGGGAGGCAGCAGUGGGGAAUUUUCCGCAAUGGGCGCAAGCCUGACGGAGCAACGCCGCGUGAGGGAUGAAGGCCUCUGGGCUGUAAACCUCUUUUCUCAAGGAAGAAGAUCUGACGGUACUUGAGGAAUAAGCCACGGCUAAUUCCGUGCCAGCAGCCGCGGUAAUACGGGAGUGGCAAGCGUUAUCCGGAAUUAUUGGGCGUAAAGCGUCCGCAGGCGGCUUUUCAAGUCUGCUGUUAAAACGUGGAGCUUAACUCCAUCAAGGCAGUGGAAACUGAUUGGCUUGAGUGUGGUAGGGGCAGAGGGAAUUCCCGGUGUAGCGGUGAAAUGCGUAGAUAUCGGGAAGAACACCAGUGGCGAAGGCGCUCUGCUGGGCCAUAACUGACGCUCAUGGACGAAAGCCAGGGGAGCGAAAGGGAUUAGAUACCCCUGUAGUCCUGGCCGUAAACGAUGAACACUAGGUGUCGGGGGAAUCGACCCCCUCGGUGUCGUAGCCAACGCGUUAAGUGUUCCGCCUGGGGAGUACGCACGCAAGUGUGAAACUCAAAGGAAUUGACGGGGGCCCGCACAAGCGGUGGAGUAUGUGGUUUAAUUCGAUGCAACGCGAAGAACCUUACCAGGGUUUGACAUCCUGCGAAUCUCUUGGAAACGAGAGAGUGCCUUUGGGAACGCAGUGACAGGUGGUGCAUGGCUGUCGUCAGCUCGUGUCGUGAGAUGUUGGGUUAAGUCCCGCAACGAGCGCAACCCACGUUUUUAGUUGCCAGCAUUCAGUUGGGCACUCUAGAGAGACCGCCGGUGAUAAACCGGAGGAAGGUGUGGAUGACGUCAAGUCAUCAUGCCCCUUACAUCCUGGGCUACACACGUACUACAAUGCUACGGACAAAGGGCAGCAAGUUCGCGAGGACAAGCAAAUCCCAUAAACCGUGGCUCAGUUCAGAUCGUAGGCUGCAACUCGCCUACGUGAAGAAGGAAUCGCUAGUAAUCGCAGGUCAGCAUACUGCGGUGAAUACGUUCCCGGGCCUUGUACACACCGCCCGUCACACCAUGGAAGUUGGCCACGCCCGAAGUCGUUACUCCAACCCUUGUGGAGGAGGACGCCGAAGGUGGGGCUGAUGACUGGGGUGAAGUCGUAACAAGGUAUCCGUACCGGAAGGUGCGGAUGGAUCACCUCCU
rnacentral:rRNA from 1 species